UCUCUCUCAGGGCUGCACCUGGAGAGUUUCCAGUACUCUACCAGUCACGACUAUAGGAAGGAGAGUCAAGCAGAGGCACACCCAUUUCAUUCCUAGCUUGGGCAGUGACUAGUGAGUGGAAGGCAAUCUGCUACAAGU